UUGGCUAUUGUGUCUCGGCUAAGGUGUCUUGGCUAAGGUGUCUUGGCUAAGGUGUCUUGGCUAAGGUGUCUUGGCUAAUGUGUCUCGGCUAAGGUGUCUUGGCUAAGGUGUCUUGGCUAAGGUGUCUUGGCUAAUGUGUCUUGGCUAAGGUGUCUUGGCUAAUGUGUCUUGGCUAAGGUGUCUUGGCUAAGGUGUCUUGGCUAAAGUGUCUUGGCUAAGGUGUCUUGGCUAAGGUGUCUUGGCUAAGGUGUCUUGGCUAAUGUGUCUUGGCUAAUGUGUCUCGGCUAAAGUGUCUUGGCUAAGGUGUCUUGGCUAAGGUGUCUUGGCUAAGGUGUCUUGGCUAAGGUGUCUUGGCUAAUGUGUCUUGGCUAAGGUGUCUCGGCUAAGGUGUCUCGGCUAAUGUGUCUUGGCUAAGGUGUCUUGGCUAAUGUGUCUUGGCUAAGGUGUCUUGGCUAAGGUGUCCUGGCUAAGGUGUCUUGGCUAAGGUGUCUUGGCUAAGGUGUCUUGGCUAAGGUGUCUUGGCUAAUGUGUCUUGGCUAAGGUGUCUUGGCUAAUGUGUCUUGGCUAAGGUGUCUUGGCUAAGGUGUCUUGGCUAAAGUGUCUUGGCUAAGGUGUCUUGGCUAAGGUGUCUUGGCUAAUGUGUCUUGGCUAAUGUGUCUCGGCUAAAGUGUCUUGGCUAAGGUGUCUUGGCUAAGGUGUCUUGGCUAAGGUGUCUUGGCUAAGGUGUCUUGGCUAAUGUGUCUUGGCUAAGGUGUCUCGGCUAAUGUGUCUUGGCUAAGGUGUCUUGGCUAAUGUGUCUUGGCUAAUGUGUCUGGGCUAGUGUGUCUUGGCUAAGGUGUCUUGGCUAAUGUGUCUCGGCUAAUGUGUCUUGGCUAAGGUGUCUUGGCUAAGGUGUCUUGGCUAAGGUGUCUUGGCUAAGGUGUCUUGGCUAAGGUGUCUUGGCUAAGGUGUCUUGGCUAA